rnacentral:rRNA from 1 species
GACGAACGCUGGCGGCGUGCUUAACACAUGCAAGUCGAACGGUAAGGCCCUUCGGGGUACACGAGUGGCGAACGGGUGAGUAACACGUGGGUGAUCUGCCCUGCACUUCGGGAUAAGCCUGGGAAACUGGGUCUAAUACCGGAUAGGACUCCUGGCUUCAUGGUUGGGGGUGUAAAGCUUUUGCGGUGUGGGAUGGGCCCGCGGCCUAUCAGCUUGUUGGUGGGGUAAUGGCCUACCAAGGCGACGACGGGUAGCCGGCCUGAGAGGGUGACCGGCCACACUGGGACUGAGAUACGGCCCAGACUCCUACGGGAGGCAGCAGUGGGGAAUAUUGCACAAUGGGCGCAAGCCUGAUGCAGCGACGCCGCGUGAGGGAUGACGGCCUCGGUUGUAACCGUCUUCAAUAGGACGAAGCGCAAGUGACGGUACCUA